UAAUAACCAGUACCCAUAGCCCAGUGGCUCCAACCAAUAACAAUACCAAUACCCCUCCAAGAAAAUCAGAUAGACCAAAUUUAGACUAGACAACUUAGUGAGUUAAGUUUUAUUAUACAUUUAACUCAUUUUUUUUAUACAUAACCCCUAAGCUAUCCUAGACCUAAUUCAGCCUAACUCUACUGUUUUUUCCCAUUUCUCCCUCUCACAUUCUUUCCAAAACCUUACUUGUCCCUUUACGCACCCCAACCAUCCAUCUACUAUUUUCCCUUUUUAAUUCCAUUCCACUUCCAUUUCAAUUCUUUAGUAAUUUAACCAUUUCAAUAUAAUAAUACAAAUCAUACAAUUUAUAUAUAUAACAUACAUCAAGUAAGAAGAGACAACAAGCAUACUAAUUUAAUUUAAUCCUAAUGUUUCCUAAUUAAUUUUUUAUCCAUUUAUUUUACUAACACUUAAGUCUUCUAGCUUAAUUCUAUUUUACUUUAAGUUUUUUGUUUAAGUUUACUAAUCCAAUAUAUCUAUCUCCUAAUUCAAUUCUUUGUUUUGAUUUAUUUCCUAAUUUUAGUAAGUUUCUAUUUAAUUUCUAUUUCAAUGAAUUUACAAAAUUGUCUAACUAAUUAACUCAAAUUCAUUAUUUAUAAUUUCCUUAUUUACAGUAUUUAUAAUUUCCUAUUUUCAUUUAUUUUCCAAAUUUCUUUUUCUAUUUAAUUCAAAAUUUCCUUUCCUUUAUUGACAUAAUCCUAACCUUAAAACAUAAAAUAGCAUCAACAACAAAAUCAAUCAAGAAGAUAUCCUUUUAUUUAACCAAAACAUCAUGAACCCCCACACACACACACCUAAGUUCAUUUAAAACCAUAUUGCUUUCUAUUUUUAUUCAAAAUACCCUUCUAGAUGCAUAUAAAAACUUUAAAAGUGAUUAAAGAAGUACUGCAAUUCUUACCUCAAUUGAGGCAUGGUAACGAACUGAUUCCAAGGAUUUAGUUCCAAUUGCAACCCCAAAGAAUAAACACCUCGCAAACUGUGGUUCGGGUUUUCAACAAAACCCAUUCGACAUAUUAGGUGAACACACAUCACACAAACAACUCUCCUUCGCUCAUGCAUACGAGCGGACUGCAUAACCGAACACCCUACGGAAAAUGGAGAGUGCAACACAUUUAACGAAAGUAUAAUUGCAUAUUUUCUAAUUAAACAACCUACAAAUGUGAUGGAAAAUAACCCGAAUAAAAAUUCGGAAUUUUCCAUAAGCCUUGUCAUGCAACAAACUCACUUAUGACACUUUGAAAAUAUUUUUGCAUGGUCACGAGCCUACAUUAGCUCGUUAAAAACCAACAAAGACAACGUUAGUUUUUUAUUCUAAAAGAUGCGUAUGAAAGUUAAGAAUUUCUACUGUCUUACCUACAAGUUUCUUUGCUGAACGGAUCAAUUUGCGACUCCAAAUUGGUGCCAAAAGUAGCUUCGCGACUUGUCAACAACACAAACGUUUCGGGUCAGUGAUGAAGCCUUUUAAAUUAGCAAAGAAAGCUUAAGAAAAAUGCAGGAAAGUAAGAGGGUUCGACCACGAACCAGAGUUACUGGGUAAACGGGUUACUCGACGAUUCGAUGUUCUGGUUGAUGAAAUUUGAACUCUGAAAACACCUUAACAUAAUAUUAGGAUAGGUGAAUCGAUUGCAAAGCUUAAUUUUGGAUUUAGGAUAGAAAAAUCUUACCACAUCGAAGAUUCGUGUCAUGCGCGACCCGACUUGAAUUUUGUUGGAAUUUGGAGUCGAUUCUGGUCUCCCUGAGUAGCUCAAAUUGCAGCGGGGCAGCCCGCACCACCACCUGAGAGAGUCCGAUGAAAACCCAAACGGUUUCACCCUUUCUCUCCCUCGAAUCACUCUCUCUCUCUCCCCGUGCGAUCCUAACCAUCGGUCAUGUGCAGACACAGGUGUGAACAAAUCUGGGUUGUUGAAGAGGAACCCGCAACAUGUGGCCCCAUCCUUACCGUUUGAUCACGCGUGACUCACCCUCUUACCUACCCGCUUGACGUUCGCGUGGCGCGCAGCGACUGGCCUAUGUGCACCGUCAGAACGAUGCAUUUUUGGCCGGAUGCCUGCAUAGCGUCCGGGUGGCACGUAGUGGUUGGUCACUGCGUACACAUCAGAAUGACAUGUUUUGAUUUCUAGAAAUUGCAUUUGGACCCCAAAUGCGUGGAUUUAUUUCAUUUAUGCCCUUGGGUCCCAUUUUAACCCAAAAGGCCCCUAAAAUAUCAGUUUUUGCUCGUUUUGGUCUCUAAACGUUUUGUUUUACAUUUUUAAGUGUUUUAAAUUAUUUUUAAAUCUUAUUAAAAAAUAAAUCUCAAAUUAAUUAACUAUUUAAUUUUUAAUUAUUUAUUAAAUUAAUUUUAAUUAGUGAAAAUGCUUAUUUUUCAUUAUUUUUAUUUAUUCCUAUUUUUUCCUAAAUUUUAUUUUAAAUUAUACAAAAUUAAGCAUGGUUUAAUAUUUCAAGCCAUUACACCCAAACCCUAAUAAACUAUAAAGCUCUAAAUCCCUAAUAAGUGCAAAUAAGUCCUUAAUUCUUAAUAAUCCCUAAGCUCUAAUAAGCCAUGAGCCCUAAUAAAGUCUAAGUCCUAAGCUCUAAUAAACCGUAAACCCUAAAUUCUAAAUCAUAAGCCCUAAACCCUAGUAAGUCCUAAUACUCAAUAUAUCAUAAGUCCCAAUAAGUUAUAAGUCCUAAUCCCUAAUACCUAAGUUAUAAGCCUUAAACCUCAAUAAUCCUUAAACUCUAAUUUCUAAGUGCUAUACCCUAUAUACCCGAAGCCCUAAAUUAUAAGUCCUAAUAACCUUUAAACGCUAAUAAGUCCUAAGUCCUAAUAAGUCUUAAGUAUCAAUAAGCCGUAAGACCUAAACUCUUAUCCUUAAAAAGUUGUACCUAAAGAGCUAUUUCAAUAAUCUACUCAUAGUAAUCACAUUCAUUUAAAGUAACAAAAAAGAAGUAAAAAAGAUCAUUGAUUUAAAUAUCUUUAAAAAAAUUUUGGUCAUCACUAACCUGUUCAAAAAGGGUGCAAGGCUCAAAUCUUAGGGAAUUUAAAGAGUGAUAACAUGUAACACGACCUCUGCAAAAAUAUUAAAUAAAAAUGUAAUAAUUCUUGAAUAUGCAACUUAAUCAAUAGUGUUUAAAAAAAAAAAAAGAAAAACUUCAUACCUAUCUUUACCAUAUAACAAAUAUUUGGUUGAAUCGCCAAUGAUGAAACAAUAAUCAUGAGAAAAAGAAGUAUAAUUUAAAUUCAUGUAUUUAAAAAAAGAAUAAAUUACAAAAAUCUAAAGAUAAGAGUUGAUAAUAUAAAUUAUACAAAAAUAUGUUGAAAUACUUAAGUCUGAUAAUUUUGUAGAUUGAGUUAACAAAAAAAAAACUAUUAUAACAAGGCUUAUAAGGUACUCUAUGAUCAAGAGAACUAAAUCAAUAAAAUCUUUUAUUAACAACCACGAAACCAAACUCUUUUUUUAGUAAACAAAUGCUAAAAAGAAUAUCUAGCAUUAGGAUUCAUAUAUAGAAAUUAUAUACGAAAUCUAUAGGUUUUAAUCUACUUAUAUGGAAUAACUGCUUACCAAAAUAACUAAAUGACUAACUGAGAAGAUUGAAUGAAAAGAAAAGAAAAACAGACAUUAUAUCACCCUUUUUUUUUCUUUUCUCAAACUGUAUGUAUGUUAUCCUAAUGCCUAAACCCUAAUAAGACCUAUGCCCCAAGCCUUAGUAUUCCAAGCCUAAUAAGCCUUAAACCCUAAGCAUUAUGUUAUCCUUAAACCCUAAUUUCUAAGUCCUAAGCUCUAAUAAACUCUAAACUCUAAGUCUUAAGCCGUAAGCUCUAGCCCCUAAACCCUAACAAGUCAUAAACUCUAAAUCCUGAGCCUUAAGCCCUAAAAAGUCUUAGAAUGUAAAAAGCUUUAAGCAAUAAUAAGUCCAAAACCCUAAGCCAUAAGCCCUAAGUCCUAAAUUCUAAGCCUUAAUAAACCCUAAGCCUUAAGCCCUAAGCUCUGAAUCUUAAUAAGCCUUAAGCCCUAAUAUGACCUAAACCUUGAUAAGCCCUAAGCCCUACCAUAAGCCCUAAGCCUUAGGCUCUAAGUCGUAAUAAGUCAUGAGCCCUAAGCUCCAAUAAGCACUAAGCCUUAAGUACUAAGCCCUAAGAAGAGUUAAGUUUUAAACCCUAAACCCUAAACCUUAAACCCUAAGCCCUAAGGCUUAAGUCUAAAGUUCUAAUAAUCCUUAAAACCUAAUUUCUAAUAAUCUUAAACUCUAAACUCUGAACCCGAAACUCUAAUAGGUCUUAAACCCUAAUAAACCCUAAAUCUUAAACUCUAAACCUUAAACCCCGAUCCUUAAAGAGUUGUACCUAAAGAGUUGUUUUAAUAUCUACUAUAGCCAAGUUGAGACGUCUUGCAAAAACUCAUAAUAAUCAUAUGCAAUACAAAGUAACAAAAAAAGUAAUAAAAUAGUAUGGAUUUGAAUAUCUCUAAAAAUUUUUUGGGUUUCACUAUCCUGUUCAGAAAGAAUGCAAGGCUUGAGUCAUAGAACCUUCAAGUAGUGAUGGCGUGUAACACGACAUCUGCAAAAAUAUUAAAUAAAAAUAUUAUGCACAAAUGUACAAUGAGAGUACCGUCUGUAAACAAAAAUAGUUACAAGUCAAUCAAAUGAUCCAUGACUAGUCCAAAGUCUUUCCAAUUUUUGAUAUCAUGACCCAACAAAAAAGAGACAAAAGUGUGAAUCCAUUUAUCCCUUAUUUUUGUAAAAUUAGCCUCUAUAUCCUCAAAAGCUCUGUUAUUUGUUUCCUUCCACAUAAUCCAAAAAAUAAUAAGUUGGAUAAGGAAUAAAUACCCUUUCAUUUCAUAAAAACCCGCCCACGCCCACAAAUCAUUACUCACAUUGCCAGCCAUAACCCAAUUUAACCCUAGCAACUCGAAAUAGUGGCUUAAAUGAAUUCUACAACUUGCAACUUAAUCAAUUGUGUUUUAAAAAAUGAAAUAAACAGAAAAACCUCAUAUGUUAGUUUCAUUAUACAACAAAUUGCGACUAACAACAAAAAUCAUGCCAAAAAGAAGUAUGUAUUUCAUUUUUCAUCACUAUGCAUAUAAUUUAAGCACAUGUACUUCAAAAGAAUAAAUCACAAACAUCUAGAAAUGGGAAUGGAUAAUCUGAAUAACAGAAGAAUAUAUUGAAAUAUUUAAACACAUAAUUUUGUAAAUAGAGUUAACAAAAUAAAAACUAUUAUAGCAAGCAAUACAAGGUUCCCUGGGAUCAAGAUAAUCAAAUCAAAAAGUCUUUACUAACAGCCAUGAAACCAAAGUCCUUUUAGUAAGCAAAUGAAAAAAAGAAUACCUGACAUAGGAUUCAUAGAUAGAAAUUAUCCAUGAAAUCAACAACUUUCAAUCUACUUAUAUGAAAUAAUUGCAUAACAAAAUAAUUAGCUGAUUAACUGAGAAGAUUGAAUGAAAAUAAAAAAAAAACAAACAUUAUAACACAUCUUUUUUUUUUCUUAUCUCAAAAUGUACAUAUUUUAUCCUAAUCCCUAAACUCUAAUAAAAUAUGUUCUAAACCUAAUAAGCCCUAAACCAAAAUAAGCCCUAUGCCGUAUUCCCUAAACAAAGAUAUUAAGGAAGAAGUGUGUGAUAAAAUAAAAAUGUCCGUAGGAGAAAAAUUGUGAGAAAUGAGGCCAAACCCGAGAGAUAUGGACAUGAAGGACAAUUUUGACCUUUUGGGAUUAUAUGGGCCAUAAGUGGGACAAAUGGGCCCGGAUGAAGCCCAAACUAAAUCGAUGUGAUAGCUUCCUACUUGAGGAACACAUGAAGCACAUGUGUGUCCAAAAAGAUUAAUAAUUGAGCAAGUUAAAGAGUUUUGAAGUAAGGGCCAAACAUUGGCCUAACUUUAAAUGUGGUUUGGACCUUUUGGGACUUAGGUGGACCAUAGAUGGGCCAAAUGUUGUCGUUUUAGGCCCAAAUUUGGUUGGUAAGUAGCUGACACGAUGAGUAAAUGAAGGUAAAAUGUGCUAGAAAUAAUAAAAAUCGAAGGAGUUAUGGCUAUUUGAAGUGAAGGCAUGUGCAUGGAGUGCAGUUUUGGGCCGUAUGGGUUUAGGUGGGCCUAAGGCGGCCCAAAACAUAUCGAAUGGAGCCCAAAUUUGGUAUGAAAGCUCCUAGAAGGUGGAUAAGACAUGGGAGGAGUCUGGAUAAUAUUAGAAUACUCUAGAAUUACUUAAAGGCUAAGGAUGAAGCUUGAGGAGGUUUAAGUAUCCAAUCACAUUUUGCCACCUCUACCAUGCUUAUCAACUUGCAUGGACAUCCCUCCCCUAUAAAUAGGGGUGUGGGAAGAAGGAAAAAGCAUUCUAGAGUUGAGAGAAAGCAAGAUAGAGAGAGAAAGAAGAGAGAGAAAGAAGAGAGAGAAAAAAAGAGGAAAAAAUGAGAGGAAAAGAGAAGAAACCCAAUAAAAGUGAGGGAAAUUGAUGGAAGUUGUGAGUUUUUCCUUGAGGAAACUGUACCUAAUUGUGAGAGGAAGAAAGAGGAGGGAAGAAGAGGAGAAAAACAAAGAUAAAAGAAAAGGAGAGCGAAAGCUCAUAACCAACCAAGGGAGAAUCCACGGGCUUAAGAUAUUGCUUAAAAACACCUCGGAAUACUGUUGGAUUUUUUAGAGAAAAAGCUUAGAAAUUAAGCCGAGACUCUACCGAAGUUAAACAGCAUGUCCUACAAGGUAUAUAGUUUCAAGUUUCUUUUCAAGGAGAUAAAUUUACUUAUCAUGAGAAUAAAUUUAUCUAAUGGUCCAAUUACAAGAGCGAGGUUGAACGAAUUCAAGGACACAUUAAACAGGAUAAUUCAAGGCUUGUGGAAUGACAUUAACAAAAUUCAAGAAUGCAACUGGGAAGCAUGUAUCGGGCUCGGGCUAAAUAACAUAAAUCAAAGCUUGGUCACACUAACUCAAGUGAAAGUUACACCAGCCCGAUAUGAACUUGAACCAGUUUGUUUGGAUGGGGCUUAGGCUUCGGAUGCCCACAUUUGGUGAUUUAAAAGCCUAAGCUUAUCUACACAUGUGGACCUACAACUUUCAUGAAGAAACCUAGUCCAGAUUCGAAUUUUAUCAGAUAGAUAACUAGCUCUUAAAAUUCAAAACAAAUUUCCAACUUAAAUACAUUGGAUCUAGCUAUCUUUAUUUAUUGUAUUAAUCUUUAUAUUAGUAAGUAAAUGUUUCUAUUUAAUAAGGAAAAACAAAAGUUUAGAUACAAUAAAUGAAGACAACUAGAUCCAAAGUAUUUAAGUAAGAAUUCAUUUUAAAAUUUGUGAGCCAAUUAUUUAUCUGAUAAAAUCCAACUUUGAUUGGGUUUCUCCAUGAAAUUUGUAGGCCCAAAUGUGUACAUAAGUUUAGGCUUUUGAAUCACCUAAUUUGGACAUCAGAAGCCCAAGUUAUGGUCAACACAAGAAAGUUGGUUCAAUUUCAUAUUGGGCUGGUGUAACUUACAAUUGAGUUAAUGUGACUCAGCUUUGCUUUAUGUUAUUUAGCCCAAGCCCAAUACAUGCUUCCUUGUUGCAUUCUUAAAUUUUGUCAAUGCCAUUCCACAAGCCUUGAAUCAUUCCGUUGAAUACGUCCUUGAAUUUCUUCAACCUCACUCUUGUAAUCGGACCAUUAGGUAGUUGAAUUGGAUCCAUGUUCUUGUAUCUUGCCUUAUUUGCAUCGAAGUUUCUAAAGCAUCCAGUUCUAGCAAAGAUAAGGGUAAGCUUGACUCUACUACUAAUUCAAGAAAUAAUAAAUGUUUCAAGUGUAGGCCAAUUGUGGAAAGUUCAAAUUUGAGCUUUUUGAACAGCCCAAAUUCGUAACUUUAAUUGAAUUUAAAUGAUUUGGAAUAAUUUAGGCUUGUUUGAGUCUUAUUGGUGGUGAAUAAGCCUUGUGUAUGGGCUCGAUUAGUUGAGUUGUUUUAAAUAUUUUGGAUUGUUUUAUUUUAGUUUGAGUUAAUUAAGCCCAUAUAGUCAAGUGUUACUCAUUUUGGCUUAAGUCUUGCCUUAGUGUUAUUACAAGAAUGAGUCCACAACUAUAUGGAGCCACAAACAAUUUAGCGGUGUUGGUUAAGAAGAUUGGAGUUACAAGGAGUUACAUAACAAUUACAUGCUUAUAAUUAGCCUAGUUAUUGUUGAAGUUACAAUUGUAAUUAUCACAUAAUUAGCUUAGUUAUUGUGGAAGUUAUAAUUGUAUUUAUUGUAUUGUAACUUAUUAUUGAUUUCUUUGGCUAUAAAUACGAAAGGAACUCUUCUUUGUGGAUAUCAGGAGUUGUAAUCAAAUAUUUUAGAAUUGAGUUGAGAGUGUUUUGGGCUUCUUUUCACUUAAGCACAAGGUGUUGAUUUGGAAUACAAUUGUUAUUACCUAUAUUUCAAUUUUGAGUUCCUAUUUCAAUUGUUCUUGGUGCUUGUUUGGAUUGGGUUCAAGGAAUAUCAUCUAUCUUUCUUAGGUUUCAUUUAACUCAUUUGGGUGAUUGAACAAAUUUGAUUCCUUUAUACUUGUGAUCUAAAUUAUGUUCUAAACCGAUUGAAGAGUUUUAAGGUUCAAGCAAGGGUCAUGGGGUUCUGCAUCAUAAGGAAAAAGAGUAAGCGAAUGUGAGACAUCCAAGAGUGAGCUUUCAAAAGAAAAGAGUGAAAAAAAUAAUGAAGUGCAAAAGAAAGUGAGUUUGAAAAAAGAGGAACAGAAUUCAAAUGAGUGUAAAAAGAAAUAAGUGAGAUUGUAUGAAAAUAGGAGUGAUAUUAAGGAAGGUUGGUUUUCAAGGAAAAGUAUACUUGUGCUUAAAUAAGGAACUUUAUCUAAACACUAAUGACCUUAAUAUUUCUUUGCCUAGUGUGUUUGUUUCUUUUUUUUCAGGAAUAUGAAGAUGUCUUUCUGGAAGAGAUACCUAAUUGAUGGCACCCGUUAGAGAAAUUGACCAUCAAAUCGAAUUCAUACCCAGUGCCUCAAUUCCAAACAAACCAGUCUAAAGAAGUAAUUCCGAGGAGACAAAAGAGCAUUAAAUGCAAGUUGAGGAGUUGUUGGGUGAGGAAUUUGUUAGAGAAAGUAUGAGUCCAUGUGCUGUUUCGGUAUUGUUGGUGCCUAAGAAAGAUGGUUCUUGGAGUAUGUGUAUUGAUUGUUGUGCGAUUAACAACAUUACAGUAAAGUAUCGUCAUCCUAUUCCUAGGUUAGAUGAUAUUCUUGAUGAAUUAUAUAUGGCUCUACUAGUUUUAGCAAAAUUGAUUUGAAAAGUGGUUAUCAUAAAAUUCGAAUGAAAGAGGGCGAUGAAUGGAACACUGCUUUCAAAACAACGUAUGGAUUAUAUGAAUGGUUGGUUAUGCCUUUCGACUUAACUAAUGCACCAAGUAUGAAUCAUGUUUUGGAAGAUUUCAUUGGAAAAUUUUUUGUUGCGUACUUUGAUGAUAUCCUUGUGUAUUCUAGAGAUUUGAAUGAGCAUGAAGAACAUUUGAGGAGUGUUUUAGUUACCUGGAGAAAUUAGAGGUUGUAUACUAAUUUUAAGAAGUGAUCUUUUUGUUUAGAUCGAAUUAUGUUUUAGGUUUUGUUGUAAGCAAAUUAUUGAAGUUGAUGAAGAGAAGUUAAGUGCUAUUAAGAGCUGGCCUAUUCCUAAAUCGGUAAGUGAGGUUCUGAAGUUUUCAUGGUUUGGCUAGUUUUUAUGUGCUAUUUGGUUAUGCCUUGCAUUUAAUUUGUUAAAAGAUAAGCUUUGUUCGGUAUCUAUUCUUGCUUUGCCUUACUUUAUUAAUACUUUUGGAAUUAAGUGUGACGCUUUAGGCGUGGGCAUUGGGACUGUUUUUAUGCAAGGAGAAAGACCAAUUGCCUACUUUAGUGAAAAGCUCCCUGGUGCUCCAUUGAACUAUUCUAUCUAUGACAAAGAGCUUUAUGCUUUGGUUCGAGCUUUGGAGAAUUGGCAAUCUUUAUGUGUCACGACCACCCCUCUCUUAUAGGGUGUGUUCGGAUCACACUGUAACUUCACACUUAGUUAAAUAAAACCUAACAAGUUUUCAUUAACAAAAAAAUGCAUAAGUGUCACAUCCCUUGAUUGAACCUUAGAACUCUUCAAUCAGUUUAGAACAGAAUUUAGAUCAUAAGUAAAAAGGAAUCAAAUUUGUUUAAUCACCCAAAUGGUAGAAGUUAAAUAGAACACAAGAAAGAUAAAUUGUAUCCCUUGAACUCAAUCCAAACAAGCACAAAAAACAAUUGAAAUAGGAAAUCAAAAUUGAAAUACAAGUGAUAACAAUUGUAUUCUAAAUCAACACCUUGUGCAUAAAGUGGAAAAAAAAAGCCAAAACACUCUUAAUUCAAUUCUAAAAUAUUUUAUUACAAUUCUUGAUGUCCACAAAGAAGAGUUCCUUUGGUAUUUAUAGCCAAAGAAAUCAAUGAUAAGUUACAACACAAUAACUACAAUUGUAACUCCCACAAUAACUAGGUUAAUUAUAGGCAUGUAAUUGUUAUGUAACUCCUUGUAACUCAAAUCUUCUUAACCAACACUACUAAUUGUUUGUGGCACCAUAUAGUUAUGGGCUCAUUCUUGUAAUAGCAUUAAGACAAGACUUAAGCCCAAAUGAGUUACACUUGACUAUAUGGGCUUAAUUAACUCAAACUAAAAUAAAACAAUCCAAAAUAUUUAAAACAACUCAACUAAUCGAGCCCAUACACAAGGCUUAUUCACCACCAAUAAGACUCAAACAAGCCUAAAUUAUUCCAAAUCAUUUAAAUCCAAUUAAAGUUACGAAUUUGGGCUGUUCAAAAAGCUCAUAUUUGAACUUUCCACAAUUGGCCUACACUAUUUAUUAUUUCUUGAAUUAGUAGUAGAGUCAAGCUUACCCUUAUCUUUGCUAGAACUGGAUGCUUUAGAAACUUCGAUGCAAAUAAGGCAGGAUACAAGAACAUGGAUCCAAUUUAGCAACUGCGCCUUAGGAGGUAAGAAUGCAAUACUCCCUUGAUCACUUUUAAUGAGUUUUCUAUAUGCAUCUAAAAGGUGUAUUUUGAAUAAAAUAGAAAACGAUAUGGUUUUAAAUGAACUUAGGUGUGUGUGUGGGUUGUUCAUGAUGUUUUGGUUAAAUAAAAGGAUAUUUUCUUUAUUGAUUUUGUUGUUGAUGUUAUUUCAUGUUUUAUGUUUAGGAUUAAAUCAAUAAAAAGAAAGAAAAAUUUAAAUUAAAGAGAAAAAGAAAAAUUGAAAAAUAAAUGGAAAUAGGAAAUUAUAAAUAAUACAAAUAGGGAAAUUAUAAAUAAUAAAUUUGAGGUAAUUAGUUAGAGAAUUUCGUAAAUUCACUUAAAAUAAAAAUUAAAUAUUUGACUAAAAUUAGGAAAUAAAUCAAAUUGAAGAAAAAAGUAAGAAUUAAAUUAUGAGAUAGAUAGAUAGGAAUAGUAAACUUAAAUAGAAAACUUAAAAUAAAAUAGAAUUAAGUUACAAGACUUAAGGAUUAUUAAAAUAAAUGGAUAAAAGAUCAAUUACGAAACAUUAGGAUUAAAUUAAAUUAAUAUCCUUUUUAUUUCUUCUUACCUGAUGUAUGUUAUAUAUAAAUAUAAAUUGUAUGGUUUUUAUUAUUAUAUUGAAAUGGUUGAAUUACUAAAGAAUUGAAAUGGAAAUGGAAUGCAUGAAUUAGAAAGGAAAAAUAGUAGAUGGAUGGUUAGGGGUGCUUAGAGGGACAUGUAAGGUUUUAGAAAGAACGUAGAGGGAGAAAUGGGAAAAAACAGUAGAGUUAGGUUGAAUUAGGUCUAAGAUAGCUUAAGAGUUGUGUUUAAAAACAAAAUGAAUCAAAUGCAUAAUAAAACUUAGCUCACCAAGUUGUCUAGUCUAAAUCAAGUCCAUCUAAUUUCCUUGGAGGGAUAUUUGUAUUUUUAUUGGUUGGGGUCAUUAGGCUAUAGGUAUUGGUUAUUGGGUUCCACGUUAGAACUAUGGUACUGUUUUCUUUAGGAAUCUAUGUUGAUUGCUAUUCUUGCUAAUGGGCCGAUAAGUAUGACUGAUGACGAUCGAAGUGACCUUUUGGGAUGACAACAAGAGAGAAAGUGUGAUUACAUGAUUUUACGGGUAAUAUUGUUAUUGUCAUUGAUUGCACACCCAUCCAUAACUAGUUGGUGUCCGUAUUGCCCUCGUUAGAAAUAAAUAGUAGCGGCUGCGCACAUAGGUUUGUAUACAAUGAAACCUAAACUAAGAUGAUAAAUUGUAUUAAAAUUGUGUUAGAAGAUGAAUCACAGUCAAUCCCGGGUGUGUGUGUUAGAGGAUUGCAUGUGAUGUGAAUUAAUUGUUUGGUUUGAUAUGCAUUAUUGAAGUGUGAAAAUGAAUAUUGGUAAAGGAAUGAAUAGAAAUGAGUAUGGAAUUGAUAAUUUGGGAAUUGUAUUGUAUUGGCAAUAUUAUUAAAUAAGUUUUCAAAAAAAUUGCAUUGUAUGCACUAUAAAUAUUUUUUUUACUGUAUGCAUUAAACAGGACUUUCAAACAUUAAUUAUGGCACGUUAGUAUUGCUCUUUACUGAGUUGACUAGAAUCACAUCAAUCCAAACUUUCUUUUCAGGUUAGGGAACCUACAUAGGGUCAGCAGUCAGAUGAGAUGCGAUGAGAGUUCCUUAGCUUUGGGGUAGAAUUGAGAUGGUAGAUAUUAAUGUAAGUUUUUGUUUUGAAUUUUUGCAAUUUAAAUAGUCUCAUGUAAUAUGAUUUCACUCAUGACUUCAUUUCAAGGGAUUUAGUUAGCUGCAUUUGAUAAUUUUUCCCUAUCGCUUUGUUAUGGAACGAAUGAUUGGCACCUUACCCCUUGGUACCAAUGUCGGGACGUCACACGCGAUACCAUUGAUCAGUAUUAUCGAGAACUCAGAAGGAUCCCCUCUACGUGCGGGUACUAAACAAUAGUUGUGAUGUGAUCCUAGACGACUCAAAUUUAGUUCCAAUGAUGUAAUCCUACAUCAAGGAGUAAUCCCGCAGGUCCCAUCCCAAAUAAGUAAGUGAGUCCAGAAUUCCUUUGUUUUCUAAACGGGAUCAGUGCAAACAGGAAAAUAAUAGAGGGAGGGGUUAAUUAGACAAUUAAGUUUAUGAAAUUGCACGUGUUGGGUUGAGAUUCUAGGAGUCAAAAUGAUCAUUCCCAUACCCUCCCGUGUCAUGUGGUAUUAGAGCUGUAAUUUCAAUAUUUAAUAAAUUUUCUAGUUUGUUUUUAGCUCUUACUAAUUGUGUGAAUGCUCUUUUAGAGGGUGUUUACAACCAUUUUGUCGAGUGUCGGGUUAAUUCAAAUUUAUCAAGAUAAGUUUGUGUAGUGUAAUGAUGUGACGGAGGGUCUUUCUAGUCAAGAAUAGAUUCAUGCUCCUACAACAGUCAAGCCCCCUACCACGAAAGAUACAAAAGAAGGAAAGGAAGCCGAUAACCAAGAUGAGUCGUGUUUAGCUAUUAAUUCUUUUGUUUCCAGUGAUGAUACCUUAAAUUCUAUUUCAAGUAAUAAUAGAAAAUUUUAAGUUUAAGUUCAAGCUUUGUAAACACAACUUUGAGAAUUAAUAAAUUUGAAGUUUUGAGUUUUUAUUUAGAAUUAGUUUUGUGCUAAUUUUUCUUCUUCAAGUUCUUCGAAACUAAGGAACUUUCCAAAGUCUUGCCAAGCUGAGGAGUUGGAAUGAGUUAUCGGAUAAGUUCGUGACAUUUUUCUUUUCUUCAUUUUUCAUUUCCCUAGUUUUUGUUUUUGCAUGUCAUAUUCUUUAUUGUAGAAUCAAACAGAGGGAGGAGUUAAUUAGAUGGUUAAGUUUCUGAAAUUACACAUGUAAGCUUGAGGUUCUGAGAGUCAAAACGAUCUUUCCCAUACCCCCCCACGUCAGUUGGUAUCAUAGCUGUAAUUUCAAUAUUUAAUAAAUUUUCUAGUUUGCUUUUAGCUCUUGCUAAUUGUGUAAGUGCUCUUUUAAAGGGUGUGUACAAUCAUUUUGCCAAGUGUCGGGUGGAUUAAAACUUAUCAAAAUUAGUGCUUGUGACAUAAUGAUGUGACAAAGGGCCUUUCUAGUCAAGAAUAGAUUCAUGCUCUUCCAGAGGUCGAGCACCCUAUCACAUAAGAUACAAAAGAAGGAAAAAAAGUCGGCCACCGAAAUUAGUCAUGUUUAGCUGUUAAUUCUUUUGUUUCCAGUGAUGAUAUCUCGCAUGAUCUAGGAGGAAGUGUGAUUCCAGUUAAAAACCACAUCAAUGAUGGAGUCAAUGAGCCAGGUAAGCAAAAUGAGCUUUCUUUUCUUAUCACUAAUAAUUCUCCUUUUAAUGGACCAUAUUCGAGAGCGAAUCUUUCUGAAGAAGGGGGGGAUGACAUGAUCCUAAAUGACUCCAAUUUAGUUCCAAUGAUACAAUCCUGCAUCAAGGAGGAAUCCCACAGAUCCCGUCCUAAACAGUCAAGUGAGUUUAGAAUCCAUUUGUUUCCUAAAUGGGAUCGACUCAAACAGGAAAGUAAAUUCUAAUUUCUUAAACUGAAACGCCCUGAACAAGAAAGUAAAUUCCAAUUUCCCACACGAGAACAUCUUGAAUAGAAAAGUAACUUCAACCUUGACUACCUUCCUAAAUGGUAUUAUUCCAAAGAUUAGACCAAGUUUGUCCAAAGGAAAGUUGAGACCCAAGUGAUGCUUUGUAAUAGCUUGGAUUUUUCCCAAUUUGAACUCUUGUGUUUGGUAUGAUUGAUUAAGUGUGCAUAUGUAUAAAGGGAGAUGUGAUAAGAUUAAGAACUAAGUUUUGAGUCAAAUGGAGGGAAAAUUAUGAGAUUAGAGCAGCCAGAAUCCCUUAAGAAGAGCUUUUGCCUUAAUAGGGGAAACCAAGUUAUCUAUAUAUGAGAAUGCUUCUCAAGACUAGAACAACAUUGUAGAACGUAAGAAGACACUUCGAGACUAUGAGAAAGUAAUUGAAUUAACAAUUAGGAGAGAAAUCUCCCAUGUGAGGGAGAAAAUUAGAAGCCCUAAUUGACCCUUUGGGCUUGAUUUGUGUCCCGAGACCAAACUACUUGGAAUUUGAGACUCAAAUUUGGCUGAGAACUAGCCAUAUAUUAAGGAAAAAAUUUAAGGAAAAAAAUGUCCAUAGAAGAAAAUGUGCAAUAAAUGAAGUCAAACCCGUGAAGCAAGCACAUGGAGGACAAUUAUGACCUAUUGGGUUUAUUUGGGUCAUAACUGGGCCAAAUGGACCAGGAUUAAGCCCAAACAAAAACUAUGUGAUAGCUACCUUCUUGAAGAACAUGUGAAGCACAAGUUUUCCCAAAAAGAUUAAAAAUUGAACAAGUUUUGGAGUUUUGAAGUAACGGAUAGGCAUGGGCCUAGCUUUAUGUGCGGUUUGGACCUUUGGGGCCUUAAGUGGCCCAAAUAUGGUCGUUUUGAGCCCAAAUUUGGUCGGUAAGUAGCUGAAAUCAUGACGAGAAAGUGAAGAUAAAAUGAGCUGGAAAUUCAUAAGAAUCGAGGAGUUAUGGCUGUUUGAAAUGAAGGCAUGUGCGUAAAGUGCAAUUUUGGGCCUUAUGGGAUUAUGUGGACCUAAGGCGGCCCAACCAUAUCGAAUGGAGCCCAAAUUUGGUAUGGAAGCUCCUGGAAGGAGGAUAAGACGUGAAAGGAUCUAGAUAAGAUUAGAAUACUCUAAAAUUACUUAAAGGCUAAGAAAGGAAGAGAUAUGGAUAAGGAUGAAGCUUGAGGAGGUUUAAACAGCCAAUCACGUUUUGCCACCUCUCCCAUGCUUAUCAACUUCCAUGGACAUCACUCCCAUAUAAAUAGGGAUGUGGGAAGAAGAGAAACCCAUUAUAGGGUUGAAAAAGGUUAAAAAGAGAAAGAAGAGAGAAAGAGAAAAGGAAAAGGGAAGAAAUCCAAUAAAAGUGAGGGAAAUUGAUGGAAUUUGGGAGUUUUUCCUUGAGGACACUCUUAUCUAAAUUGUGAGAGGAAGAGAGAGGAAGGAAGAAAGAAAGGAGAAAAAGAAAGAAAUAAGAGAAAAGGAGAGCGAAAUCUCACAGCCAACGAAGGGAGAACCCGCGACCUUAAGGUGAGUUUUCUCUUUCAUUUUAAUUUCGUUUCUCUUGAAAUUUUAAGGAUGAUUUUUAAUUGAUAUUAGUAUUUUAAUAUUAGAUAUUGCUCAAAAACAUUCUGGAACUCUGCUAGAUUUUCAAGAGAAAAAGUUUAUAAAUUAAGUCGAGAUUCUGUCAGAGUUAAAGCAGCAUGUCCGACAAGGUAUGCAGUUUCAAGUUUUUUUUCAUGAAAACUAAUUUAUCUAUCAUCAUGAUAUUUUAAGUGUAAAAUAAUGAUAAUUCUAAGGAAAGAUGCUGCCAAAAUAUCGGUAGGAAAUUGAUGAAAAUAUAAGGGGAGAUUCUGCUCGAUUGAAAAGAGAAAAUUAAAGUAUUUAUAAAGGGAGACUCUGUCAAAGUGACUAGAGAAAUUUGAAGAAAAAUGUAAGGGGAGACUCUUACAAAAUAGAGAGAGAGCUUAAGUUGAUUGCACCGGACCUGAGUAAGUGGGUACUGUGAUUACAUGGCCUAUGUAGUUUUCAAAGUGUUUUCAAAGUAUUUUUAGUAUAAUAAGUGGAUAUUGUGAUUUCAUGACCUAUGUAGUUUUCAAGUGUUUUUAUCAAUGUUUUCUAUGUAUUUUCAUAUAUAAAGUGCAAGCGUUUGUGAAAGUAUUAUUGUGUUUUAAGCGUUAUUUUGCCUAUAUAUUUUGGGAAGUGAUUUUAAUAAGUGCGCAUCACUCGUUAUUGAAGUGAGUUGUUCUAAAAACACCUGCAUGAUGCUAGGCUUCAGUGUGCCCCUACAUAAUCAUUUCGUUUUCGGGCGUAGUAAGAAAGUGAUAAGUGUGACUUCAUACAUAACUGUUCUGUUUUUUGGGUGCAUGGGGAAGUGUUAAGUGUUAAGUGUUAAGUGUUAAGUGUGCAUCACUCAUUAUCGAGGUGAACUGUUCCAAAAGCACCUGCAUGAUGCUAGGCUUCAGUGUGCCCCUACAUAAUCGUUCCAUUUUCAGGUGUAGUAAGAAAGUGAUAAGUGUGACUUCAUACAUAACUGUUCUGUUUUUGGGUGUAUGGGGAAGUGUUAAGUGUUAAGUGUGCAUCACUCAUUAUCGAGGUGAACUGUUCCAAAAGCGCCUGCAUGAUAUUAGGCUUCAGUAUAUGCCUAUAUAACCGUUCCGUUUUCAGGUGUAGUGGCAAAAUGAUAAGUGUGAAUGCAUACAUAGCUAUUCUGUUUUUGGUUGUAUGGAGAAGUGUUAAGUAUUAAGUGUGCACCUAUACAAAUAUGGUAGUAGGAAGAUGUGAACGGCCCCCCAUAGCAGUGAUAGAGAUUAUUAUACAAUGUAGUGAAUUGCAUCUGUUCUCUGAUUCUAAGACACGUAGCUUGUUGUCCAAUGUGGCGCAUUGUACCAGUUGAGUGAUCUGGUACAUGAGAGAGUAUAGCUCAUUGUAUAACGUAGAAAUGUGUUUUCUGAAUCAUGAUUCUAAUUUUAAUUUUAUACAUUUGUUUUUCAGUGAAAGUGAAUAUGUUUUUGAGAAAGUAUAUAAGAUACAUAUAUUUUGAUGUGUGUGAAAAUUAUCUAUAUUGCAUGUAUUAGUUGUGUGUCAUAAUAUCUGCUUACUGAGAUAGUUAUCUCAUUCCCCUAUCAUUUUUCAUAUAGUGAGGAUUCCGCUGCAAAAUAAUAAGUGAUACGGAAGAGAAGUUGAGAAGUUAGUCUCUGAGAUUGGGUUAUCGGUUUGUACUUUUAUAUUAUAAGAUAAAAAUAACUUUAGAGCCUCAUAUAUAUGUAUCUUAUGUACAUAUUUCAAGAGAUAUAACACUUCUGGGCACUUUGUAUGUUAAUUAAAGUUAAUUCUUGUUAUUUAAUUAUGUAUGAAGUGUAAGUAUGCUCCAAACACGUCCUGUAAGAAAUAGUGCCAGCCGCGACAUGCUUAAUGGGCUUGGAGAAAUGACAAGGCAAAAGGAAAGGCCUAACUUUGGCCCAACCCUAAAUGGCUUCAAGGCCAUGUGGCCAAAGUGGGCCAUAACCCAAAAAGAUCUUGCCCAAAGGAAGAAAGUCAGUCCAUACAGUGCCUUGGGAAGAAAGUCAGUCCGCUGACGUCGGUGCCACGCGGGAAGCCAUGCUGGUAAUCCACGUGCCCCACAAUCGGACAGCCCAUGAUCANNNNNNNNNNNNNNNNNNNNNNNNNNNNNNNNNNNNNNNNNNNNNNNNNNNNNNNNNNNNNNNNNNNNNNNNNNNNNNNNNNNNNNNNNNNNNNNNNNNNNNNNNNNNNNNNNNNNNNNNGAAAAGGUAAAAAUCCCUUGCCCGCUCGGAAAUUGAUUUUAAGUAUCUUGUGGCCAAAUCGGAGCAAGAGGGAUGGCGGGUGAGCCGAAAACCGUGGGUAAAGCUCAGCGAAGCUGCCACGGUUCAAACCUCAAAAUCUCUCUGAUGAGCCCCUACCUGAUUUCUCUUUUAUGUGAUUUUUCGAUCAUUGUGUUCACCAUCUUUUUUUGUGCAAGGUACCCGAAGAAAGAACCUCAGCCGCGAAGGAGGACCGGCAUAGCCGCCAUAUCCAAAGGUCCCCCGCUGGUAGGUUUGAUUUUUUUAUGAUUUCUCGGCCAAUCGAGGCCCUUAACGUGUUUUUCUGGAGGAAUACAGCCAAAAUCGGUCGGGCUGAAAUGAACCGCUACCGUGGCCAGCAGAGUCGACGCGGGAGCACGGCCACGUCGUCGUGCCAGAACCCCAAAAUUGACCAAAAAGAGUUUUGGACACUGAUUUUAAAUUUUUGGGAUAUUUUUAGGUAUGUGAAGGGUGUUUUGAAUUUUUACGAAAAAAAUUCAGAAAAUUCGGUACCCGUUAGGAGGCGUAGUAGACAACGGGAUGUUUCAAAACACCAAUUCAGGUAAGGAUCUUUCACUCUAUUCUUCGUUACCGUAAAUUGAGGCUUAACGUUGUAUAAUUUUGCAUUUUUAUAAAAAAUUAGAGAACCCUAAAAAUGACUACAGGUAACUAAUGGAACGAGAACUGGUUAAUUCACGAUUGUUCUGAUUUCCUAUUUAUUUUCUUAUACUGCUCUAUUUACUUGUUAUUAUAUGAUGAAUGUUCUUAAUUUAUAUUUUCUCUAGACUUAUCGAUUCAUCUGCCUUAUUUGGUUAUUACCGUCAGCAUGAAUAUAGUUUAAUUGAUAUGUGAAUAUAAUAUGAUUAUUGAUAUACGUGUUAGUUGUUUGUUAAUGAGAAUAUUUAUGUGAAAAACUUAUUAAGUACCCAGGGAAAGAGCGGACGGACCUGAUACAUAGGAAACCCUACUGUGAACAUUAUCUCAGUCGAACGGAACUGAAAAGUCUCUUACCGGAAAGGUUUGAGAAAUAUGAUUCAUCCUCAUACUGGACGGGAUAUCAAAGCGAUGGAAUGUUUGGCGCAUAUUACCGGACGAAGUAAGGAGAUGGCCGGUUAAUUGUUAAAGUUGGAUAUUGGGUUCACGAGUAGAAGGAUAUCCUUAUAGACCCCCAGGAGUACCAGUAAGCAGGUAAUAAAUGAAAGUUAUUAUUCCUCGUUCUCUUAAGCAUGAAAAUAAAAAGUGGUAUGAAUAUAGAUUUUCAUAGGUUGUUUUUGAAAAACUCAUUUACGGUAAGUACGAAAUAAACGGUCUUCUUUAUAUUAAAUGAAUUUUACUCAAAUUAAGUGCUCCAUUAGUUAUUUUAUGAUUUUUUUUAUCAAUUUUCAGUUUUUCGUAUCUGUGAUUAGUAUGAUUUUCUUACUGGGCUAGUGUAACUCACCCAUUCAUUAACUAUUUCAGACUAAGAAGACCAAGAUCCAGUCCCGAUCAGCAAGAAGGUUGUGAGUAGUUCACUAUCCGGACUCCCUUCAAGUGCUAGUGAAGGUUGUUCUUGGAUGUUUAGUUAUUCAUUUUUCAUUUUAUUUCUUUAAUUUAUGUUUGUCUUUUAAAAGAAACAUUCUUGUAACCCUAUAGGCAUUCAAAAUUAUUAUGUAAAGAAUAUAAACUCUAAUCCUAUUAACCGCUUCUGCAUUAAAUUUAUGAAUUUAUUUCUUUUUUAGUUACGAGCCUUCAUAGUUGAUAUCAGAGCCGCGUUUCUCGAAACUAUUCCUUACACAAAGACUUAAAAACACCAAAUACAAACUAUCACUCAACCUUUUUUUUGUAAAAUGCAGGUACAAGAAAAUGAGGAGAGGAAGACCCCAAUAAAUCGAGCAGCCCAGAAUGGCUCACUUCGAGAGGAUGUUGACCAACUCUUUGAGAUGCUGAGAGACUCAUCUCUGCACAGCUGGCCCAGGAGGAAAGGUGGGAGCUGUCUGACCCUCCCCCGCUGCCAUAAUUUGAGUCACCCUUGCAGUGGGAAGAUCUAAAGUCACCCCAGUACAACCUUGCUCAUCCACUGCACCAUCCGACACCACCACAGUACAAUAUGGUGCCUCCACCGCAUCAUCUGGUACCGCCACAGUACAACCUGGUGCCUCCACCAUAUCAUUCAGCACCACCACAGGGUCACUCGGUCCCUCCCCAGCACAAUCCAGUUCCUCUUUCACGGGAUCCAGUUCCACCCAUGAUGGACCCAGACUACAUUGAAAGGUAUAAAAGACUAAACUCAUCUACAUUUGUAGGUACAUCCUCUUUUCAAGAGGCCAAAUAUUGGUUGGCUGAGACAGAGAAGGCCUUCACGACUCUUGGGAUGAUUCCCUAACAGAAGAUUGUACUUACCACUUACAUGCUUGUAAGAGAGGCAGGCCGCUGGUGGCAGCUCAAACAGGCCGCCCUGCCCGGUCCAAUCACUUGGGAAUAAUUCCUAAUGGCCUUCAAUGUAAAGUACCUCCGAGAGCACCUCCGACAUUUGAAGAAGAUGGAAUUUGCACAACUAGUAAGGUGAGAUGACUGUGUCAGAGUAUGUUUGAAAGUUCCUAGAGUUGGACCGAUAUUCUCCUGAGAGCAUGAUAGAUGAGGGCAGGAAGGCAAGAAAUUUCGAGCUGGGCCUCCACCCUAAGAUCAGACAACAGCUGUACGUAUUUGAGUUUAGUACCUACUCAGCCGUUCUGGCCAAGGCAUAGCUAGUUGAGAGGAACAUUCGCAUCUUUCCUCAAGCAGUUGGGAAUCCCAGAGCCGGUUUCAUACCGUAAACUAGCACCUACUACAUCGAUUCAGUAGAACAAAAAGCUUAGACCAGUGACUCAGGCUUCUCCUCAAUCUCCAGUAAUAAGACGGGAUAGGACUUGCGAGUACUGUGGCAAGGAUCAUGGGAACCAGUCGCUGUUAUCAUCUUAAUAAUACUUGUCGCAUAUGUGGGAGUACACAACAUUACGCGAGAGAGCGCCCAUGGAAUCAGAACCAGACAAGACCUCCUAUGCAGGGCAUAGCUUACAACCUAACUCAAUAGGAUGAUGAAGUCAGUCCGGACGUGAUACAAGGUACGUACACUAUCUGUAAUCACCUUGCACAUGUUUUGAUUGAUAUUGGUGCUUCACAUUUGUUUGUCACACAAACUUUUACAGCAAACUUAAAUGUAUCACUGGAAAUACUUGAUUUUAUGUUUUUGUAUCUACUCCUAAAAAUAAGACACUAUUAGGUUAGGUUAUAUAUAAAACUUGUAUCAUAGACAUAGUAGGUAGAAAAUUGAAUAUGGACCUGAUAGAAAUUGACACAGGGUACUUUGAUGUAAUCCUAGGAAUAAACUAGUUAGCGGCAUAACACACCACCGUAGAUUAUUUUCACAAAAAACUUGUAUUCAACCCUCCUAACAAAGAGCCAUUUACAAGUUAAUAAAAAUUUUAAAUGAUAAUUUCCUCAUUAUGUAGUGCUUUAACUUUGUUGUCUUCUCUACAUUAGGCAAACGUAAGAAAGAAGUUUACAUUCAAGAGAUCUCGAUAGUCUGAGACUUCCCGAAUGUAUUUCCUGAUGAACUAUCUGGACUGCCAGUAGACAGAAAAGUUGAGUUCACCAUAGAUCUUUAGUCUGACACCCAGUAUAUCUCUGUUGCUCCUUACCACAUGAGCCGUGUUGAGAUGGAAGAAUUGAAAAAACAGAUCAAUGAAUUGUAAGAUAGUAGGUUCAUCCGACAUAGUGUAUCUCUUUGAGGUGCUAGAGUCACAUUUGCAAGGAAAGGGGAUGGGAUGUUACGAUUGUGUAUUGACUACAAAGGAUUGAAUCGAGUUACAAUCAAGAACAAAUACCCCUCCCUAGAAUUGAUGACCUAUUUGACCAGUUGCAGGGUGCCUAGAUCUUCUCCAAAAUAGAUUUAUGUUCAGUUUACCAUCAGGUAAAGAUCAAGGCAGAAGACAUUCCCAAGACAGCUUUCAGAACCAGGUACGAACAUUAUGAGUUCCUAGUCAUGCCCUUUGGACUAACUAAUGCACCAGCCAUUUUUAUGGACUUAGUAAACAAGUUUUUCAGAUAAUUCUUGAAUCAGUUCGUCAUUAUAUUUAUCGAUGAUAUCCUAAUCUAUUCAAAUAGCAGAGAGGAACACGUUCACCACCUGACUCAGGUUUUGCAAGUUCUCAAGGAGAAAAAACUAUAUGUAAAAUUGAGCAAGUGUGGGUUCUGACUUGAGCAAACUAUCUUUCUAGAACACAUUAUAUCAAUAGAUGGAGUAUCAGUGAACCCCGAAAAAGUUAAGACAAUGCUGGGAUGGGAGAAAUUGACCUCGGUUAAGGAGAUUUGUAGCUUUAUAGGAAUAACAGAUUGUUACUACAGGUUUGUAAAAGAAGUUUUCAGCUUAGCCGCUCCUUUUAUCCGACUCACAAAGAAAAACAUUAAAUUUGAAUGGAACAUAAAUUGCGAAACGAGCUUUACAUAACUUAAGAAGUAGUUGACUACUACACCUAUGUUGGCCUUACCAAGUGGGACAGGUGGAUAUACAGUGUAAAGUUAUGCUUAUUAUUUGAGGUUAGGUUGUGUUCUGAUGCAGCAUGGCAAAGUCAUACCCUAUGGGUCCACACAGUUGAAGUGUCAUGAAAAAAAUUACUCCACCCACGACUUGGAACUUACUGCCAUUAUCCACGCCUUAAAGACCUAGCGCCACUACUUGUAUGGGGAGACUUUUGAAAUUUUUAUUGACCAUAAAAGCUUGAAGCACAUAUUCACUUAUAAGAAUCUGAAAAUGUGUCAGAGGCGUUGGAUAGAGCUCCUAAAGGAUUAUGACUGUAAUAUAUUGUAUCACACGAGCAAGGGCAAUAUAGUGGCUGAUGUACUCUGCAGAAAAAGUGCAGGUAUGUUAACUCACACAAUGGUUUCUGAAUGCAUGGGUAAUAGGGACUGUACAAUGAUACGACUUCAAGAAUCAAAGAGAGUUGCAUGUUUGGCUCACCUGGCUGUCCAACCCGAAUUCAUGUAGAGAAUAAGAGAGGUCUAUUUAACCGAUUCCACCAUAGCCCUACUCAAGAAAGAUGCAAAACAAGUAGUCCAUCAAAGAUUCUAAGUCUUUACCGAUGGAUUACUUAGGUUUCAUGACAGAGUGUGUGUUCCAGAUGACAAUGAACUAAAAAGAGACAUCAUGACAGAGGCUCACAGGUCCAAGUUCACCAUACAUCCCAAAAGUACUAAAAUGUAUCAAAGUAUGCGACCCCAAUUUUGGUGGAGCGAAAUAAAAAGAGAGGUAGCCGACUUUGUUUCCCAUGUAGAUUGCCGAUGGCCGCCCAUGCAAAUCGCCGAUCUGUUGGGAAGAGGUGGGUGAUAGAAAAUUACUCGGCCCAGAUCUUAUGGAGAAGACUACAGCCAAAAUAGUUAAAAUCAAAAAAAAAAAUCCAAACAACUCAUAGUAGGCAGAAAAAUUAUACGAACUCCCGGAUGAGGGAUUUGGAAUUUGAGAAAGGUGGCCGAGUAUUUCUUAAGAUCACUCCUUUCAAAGGGAUUAGUAUAUUUAGCAAGAGAGGAAAACUAAAUCCUUGGUUCAUCGGACCAUUUGACAUCUUAAACCAGAUUUAUAUGACUGCCUACAGACUAGCACUACCUCCAAAGCUAUGUAGGGUUCAUAAUUUGUUCUAUGUAUCUAUGCUACGCAAAUACAACCCGAACCCCUCACACAUCCUGUCCCACGAGCCUCUAUUACUCUAGAAAAAUCUAUUCUAUAAGGAGGUACCGGUAGGCAUUAUAGACCGGAAAAGUAGAGUACUUCGCAACCGAGAAAUUCCAUUUAUCAAGGUCCUAUGGCAGAACUAUACCAGGAAAAGGCCACUUGAGAACUAGAAUCAAACUUCAGUGCCCAAUAGCCCAGCUGUUCGACUGAGUGAGAGAGUGAUCAAUUUGAGAGACCAAAUUUUCUUAAGGGGAGAGAGUUAUAAUACUCAGUCUCGAAAAACGACCCAACAUAAAUUUUUUAUUCUUUAAUUAUUAAUUUAAAAUAAUUGAUUAUUUUAUUUUAUUUUUAUUUAAGUAAAAUUUUGAGAAAAAAUAAAUUAGGGACGAGAUUGAAAAUAAUUUUAUAAAAAAUGGGUGAAAAUUUAGGUUAUGUGAGUGUUUUUCAACGAAAAAUUGGAAACAGAAAGUCAAAGCGCAAAUAAAGAAAAUUCGGCCACGUAAAACUACCCAAUCAACUGUCUCGAAGAACUGGAGCGCGCUGUAUGGCAAGGCAGGCUGACGUCAGGAGGCCACGCUGACGAUCCGUAUGCCCCAUGAUCGAACGACCCAUGACCGAUCCCACACACGUGGAGGAUCCGAAUCUGUUUUCCCCUUAGGUGUGAUAGAACGGUUGAGAUUAAUCGUAAUAAAUAGCCCAAAUUCGUUUCCUCCUUAAAUGCAAUCGGACGGACGAGAUUGAUCGCGAUGGACAAUCUAGAUAAACGCGGGAUAGUUAUAAAUACUUUGCAUCACAUGGGAACCCAAACCCUAACCGCCAACCCCCACUGGAGAAGAAAAAUCAGACGCCAAAGAAAGAGGUCGACCACAAACUGCCGUUGCACUGGAGCCACCGCCAACCACUAAAAAAGGUAAAAAUUCUCCCUACCCGCUUGAAAUUAGAUUCUGAGUAUCACUAUGGCCAAAUUGGAGCAAGAGAGAUAGCAGAUAAGUCAGAAACCAUGGACAAAGCCCGGUUGAGCCGCCGCGGUCAAAACCCGAAAACCCUUUCGAUGAGUCCCUUCUCGUUCCCGUUUCAUGUGAUUUUUUGAUCAUUCUAUUCAUCGUCCUUUUCUGUGCAGGGUAGCUAAAGAAAAAACUUCAGCAGCGAAGGAGAACUAGUAGAACCGCCACACCUGGAGAUCCCUCCACCGGUAAGUUCGAUUAUUUUUUUGAUUUCCGGUGCACGCAGCUGCUACCAUCUAUUUCUAAAGAGGCAAUACAGAUACCAACUAGCUAUGGAUGGGUGCGGAAUCAAUAAUAAUAAUAAUAUAUUACUCAAAAAAUCAUGCAAUCACACUUUUUCUCCGGUCGCCAUCAUUCAUUCCCAUAGGCACAUAAGCAUGAAUAGCAACAUAUAGAUUCCCAAGGAAAACUAUACCACAGUUCCAAUACGGAACCUAAUAACCAGCACUCAUAGCCUAGUGGCUCCAACCAAUAACAAUACCAAUACCCCUCCAAGAAAAUUAUAUAGACCGAAUUUAGACUAGACAACUUAGUGAGUUUAGUUUUAUUAUACACUUAAAUCGUUUUUUUUUUAUACAUAACCCCUAAGCUAUCCUAGACCUAAUUCAGCCUAACUCUAUUAUUUUUUCCCAUUUCUCCCUCUCACAUUCUUUCCAAAACCUUACUUGUCCCUCUACGCACCCCAACCAUCCAUCUACUAUUUUCCCUUUU
rnacentral:lncRNA from 1 species